rnacentral:rRNA from 1 species
UACAGAACCCGCAAGCGUUAUCCGGAUUUAUUGGGCGUAAAGCGUUCGUAGGCGGACUGGAAAGUCGGGCAUUAAAUACUGGGGCUUAACCCCGGACAUGUGCCGGAAACUUCCAGACUUGAAGAUGCUAGGGGCUAUCAGAACGUACGGUGUAGGGGUGAAAUCCGUUGAUAUCGUACGGAAUACCAAAAGCGAAGGCAGAUAGCUGGGGCAAUCUUGACGCUGAGGAACGAAAGCGUGGGGAG